AUUGAACGCUGGCGGCAUGCCUUACACAUGCAAGCCGAACGGUAACGCGGGGCAACCUGGCGACGAGUGGCGAACGGGUGAGUAAUGCAUCGGAACGUGCCCAGAAGUGGGGGAUAGCCCGGCGAAAGCCGGAUUAAUACCGCAUGAGACCUGAGGGUGAAAGCGGGGGAUCGCAAGACCUCGCGCUUUUGGAGCGGCCGAUGUCAGAUUAGCCAGUUGGUGGGGUAAAGGCCUACCAAGGCGACUAUCUGUAGAUGGUCUGAGAGGACGACCAGCCAGGCUGGAACUGAGGCACGGCCCAGACGCCUACGGCAGGCAUCCGUGGGGAAGAGUGGACAAUGGGCGCAAGCCUGAUCCAGCCAUGCCGCGUGCGGGAAGAAGGCCUUCGGGUUGUAAACCGCUUUUGUCAGGGAAGAAACGCUCUGGGCUGAUACCCUGGGGUAAUGACGGUACCUGAAGAAUAAGCACCGGCUAACUGCGUGCCAGCAGCCGCUGUAA
rnacentral:rRNA from 1 species